rnacentral:rRNA from 1 species
UACGAAGGGGGCUAGCGUUGCUCGGAAUCACUGGGCGUAAAGCGCACGUAGGCGGAUUGCUAAGUCAGGGGUGAAAUCCUGGAGCUCAACUCCAGAACUGCCUUUGAUACUGGCGACCUUGAGUCCGUGAGAGGUGAGUGGAACUGCGAGUGUAGAGGUGAAAUUCGUAGAUAUUCGCAAGAACACCAGUGGCGAAGGCGGCUCACUGGCCCGGUACUGACGCUGAGGUGCGAAAGCGUGGGGAGCAAACAGG